AAUUUGAUUUUGAUGGAAAAGAAAUACUGAAAAGAGUUCGGAAGAAAGCCAUGCUGAAGAUCCACGAAGCCAAUCAGAUUGUUCUGCAUGGCGACAGAUCACUUAACUUCAAAUCGGACGCUGCGCACAUUACACCUGUUUUUUACAACAUUAUCAAAAAUAACGCGAAACGUCCUAUUGUAAACCCCGAACUUCCAACAUCAUACGGCUCAGUAAAUACAUCGACAAAUAAUGUUGCUGAUAACCCUGCUAAUCAGCUGGUCAAUGUCAACAACACAAAUCAAAACAAACAAACGCGAUACAAUCUGCGAAGGAGAAAAUAAAAAAUUUAAAAAAAAAAUUUUGUUCAACAACUACGUGAUAUCGAUUCCCUGAAGAUGGUCGUUUGACCGAAUGCAUGGAAAAUAAAUAA